UAGGAUCUUGCUAUGUUGCCCUGGCUGGGAUGCAGCGGCUAUUCACAGGUGCAAUCAUAGUGCACUACAGCCUCAAACUCCUAGCCUCAAGCAAUCCUCAUGCCUCAGCCUCCAGAGUAGCUGGGCCUACAGGUACUUAACACCUCAUCUGGCAUCCCCCAGUCAGAUAUUUGGAUGAGACCCCUGCCUUGGCUAACACCUUGAUGAAAACCUGUGGAAGGUUCUAAGGCAGGAGCAAUAGCAAAAAUUGGGAAUGGGAAGAAACAGGUACCAGCCAGGACACCUGAACGAACUUGGAGCUCAGGAACCCAGGAGGGGAUUGGAGAGAGUGGGGAGACUCCAUGGUCCACAAUGAAUGCUCCUUCCCCAUCCGAAAAAAUCCCCUAGCCCAGUUUUUGGGCAGAUGCCAGACUUUUAUUCUGAAGCGUGGGCCACAACCUAUGAGGUAAUCUUUGGAGCUUCAUUCUGAGGCGGAAUCCCAUUGGCCAGUUGGGGAAGCCCCUCCCAGGAUUCCUGGCGCUCCGCCUUCCCUGAAGCCUAUAAAAGCGCAGGUCCCCGCCUCGGCAGCCACGGGACACCUGCAUCUGCCAACAAGACUGGAAGCAGAAAGGGACAGAGACGGCGAAGUUUGACGGUCUGGAAAGCAGAGACCAGCAGGGCUGACUGCUUGGGAGCACGAGGGACAGCUCUCCACCGACCGAAGGAGGAGAAUGCUAUUUAUUUCAGCACCAAAUAUCCGGACAGCGCCUCUCGGGAGGUCCGAGAAGAGAACCGCGAUCUGUUUCAGCACCGGGGCUCAGGACAGUUCCCAGCGGGCUCCGUUUCGUCUCCAGAACCCUGGACAGCUCCUCCAGCUUGGAAUGCACUCCCUCCACCUCCAACCAGAGCUCCCCACAACUGACCCUGCCUUCUUCUGCAAGCUCCAUUUCAUCAAGGGAAACGAUCCUUAUUGCCUCACCAUUUCCCACGUGAAGUCUGUAUUGACAUUCUCAUAGACCUGGGAUAUUGUGUCUGCAGCACAUAGUCCAAUUAUUUUCAUGUUAUCUACUGACAGGUCUAUUUGUCUCCCUGUUACACUGUGAGCUCCGUGAGGGCAGAAACAAUGUUAGUAUUUUCACUGCUGUGUCCCCAGCGCCUGGUCCGGGGCCCGGCACACAGCAGGCAUAUAAUAAGCAUGUGUUGAAUCAAUAAAGGCAUCAAAGAAUAAACCAAUACAUCAAUCAAUAAAUGAAUGAAUGGCCUCAGCACACACAGGAAGAUCCUUCUUCUAGGUCUCCCCCAGAGAGAUACUGGAGGGCAAUGGUUGCUGGAGGUGUUUAUUGGGGAAGCAUAAUUGAAUUUGUGGACACUUAAGGGCCGGCCAGCCAACUCACAGCCCCAAGAGAGAGAGCCAGGCUCAUUUAAUUAGCAAUUACAAGGCACUGAUUCCUCAUUAGCUCUGGCAACCCUCGUCUCCCUCCUCAGCCCCAGACAAAUGAAAUCUUUCUCUCUCUCCCAGGAGUACUGCCUCAGUGGGUCCAUUAACAAGCAGAGAAAAUGAGAUUAGAAGACACCUAAAUGCCAGAGGCACUUUAUGAAUGGGCUGAGCAGAGGGAGGUUCAAUGUCUGGGUUAGGUCUAAUUGUGGGAGGUUUCCUGGUCUAUUUAGAAUUGCCCCCUGGGAAUGCAAGGUCUUUCAGAAAGGAAAAGGCACACAGAUAUUGCCUUCUGGGGUCCUCAAUGGAGGAGGACAUUCUGCUAUGGGUGUCUCCCAGUCACCCCAAAUUAAUCAUUUCAAAGUGAACACUCAAUCUGCCCAGCCCCUAGCUUCCUCCCCUGACAUGCCCAUGAAUAUGACAGUCCCUCUACAUGCCCAAGAUCCUCCCCUCCUCAUCCACUCCCCAUGAUCCCCAAGAUGAGUCACUGUGCUCAAAUCCAUCCUCUCUCCUCCAGCCCUCUGCCUCCAUGACCUCCCUCCAGCCCUCUGCCUCCAUGACCUCCGCCUCCCUGCAUGUCCGGAUCUCCUCACUGUCUCCCCUCUGAGCAUACACACACAUACAGCCUGUUCAUUCUCUACAUGCAGCGAGGGGACUUUCCAGAACACACAUCUGACCAAGUUCCACUCCUGCCUGUCACCCUUCCAAGAGCCCCACUGACUGCAGAAUAACGUUCAAAUAUCCGGUUGGGCGUGGUGGCUCAUGCCUGCAGUCCCAGCACUUUGGGAGGCCAAGGUGGGUGGAUCACUUGCACAGGACCACAGGCGUGUGCCACCACACCCAGCUAAUUUUUAUAUUUUUGGUAGAGACGGAGUUUCACCAUGUUGGCCAGGCUGACCUCAAGUGAUCCACCCGCCUCAACCUCCCAAAGUGCUGGGAUUACAGGCAUGAGUCACUGCACCGGUCUAAUUUUUUCAGAGUCUCACUCUUGCCCAGGCUGGAGUGCAGUAGCAUGAUCUCGGUUCACUGCAACCUCUGCCUCCUGGUUUCAAGCGAUUCUCUUGGCUCAGCCUCCUGAGCAGCUGGGAUUACAGGCACGUGCCACCACACUUAGCUAAUUUUUGUAUUUUUAGUAGAGAUGGGGGUCUCACCAUGCUGGCACAGUUGGUCUUGAACUCCUGACCUCAAGUGAUCCACCCACCUCGGCUUCCCAAAGUGCUGGGAUUACAGACGUGAGCCACCGCGCCCGGCCAGCCUUUAUUGAUUCUUUUUAAAGCCACACUAACCUUUUAUUUUCCCCCAAAGACCCCUGGGAGCCCUCAGUUUUUCCUGGCAGUUUCAUCUUUGUACCCCUGACCUCCCCACACACACGCCUAGCUCAGUGCUGGCAUCCAAUAUUCACUUUGGGUAUAAAUGCUUGUGCCUGAGCCUAUCACCUUCAUCACACAGAAAAUCCUGGAGGCCACACACCCCUGUAAAGACGAGCCAUUACCCACAGAGGUCCAACCAACUUACCACCCUCUCCCAGCCACCCCCAAGGACCCAGCUUGCAGCUGCCUGCUCAAUGGCUUUAGAAACUAAAAAAGGUGAAUGAGUUUCCAUCACUGCCCUCCUGGGCUUUGCCGUUAUGGCUGGUUAACUUGACAGAAGAACACAUUAUACUUCAUUUUUUGCUGUUGUCUUGUUGGAAAAAAAAGUGACAGCUGGGUGCAGUGGUGCACACUGUAGUCACAGCUACUCAGGAGAAUUGCUUGAGCACAGGAAUUGGAGGCUACACUGAGCAAUGAUCGCCUCACUGCACUCCAGCCUGAACGACAGAGCAAGACCCUCUUAAAAAAUACGUGAGAGAGGGUGCGUAUGAUGGCUCAUGCCUGUAAUCCCAGCAGUUUG
rnacentral:lncRNA from 1 species